rnacentral:sRNA from 1 species
AGCAGCCGCGGUAAUUCCAGCUCCAAUAGCGUAUAUUAAAGUUGCUGCAGUUAAAAAGCUCGUAGUUGAAUUUCGGGACCAAUAUGUCGGUCGUGCUUCGGUACGUACUGUCAUAAUUGGUUUCUCCCUUCUGAAGAACCUUGAUGUCAUUAAUUUGGUGUCUUGGGGAAUCAGGACUGUUACUUUGAAAAAAUUAGAGUGUUUAAAGCAGGCUCGCGCUUGAAUACAUUAGCAUGGAAUAAUGAAAUAGGACGUUUGAUUCUAUUUUGUUGGUUUCUAGGAUCGACGUAAUGAUUAAUAGGGAUAGUUGGGGGCAUUAGUAUUCAAUUGUCAGAGGUGAAAUUCUUGGAUUUUAUUGAAGACUAACUACUGCGAAAGCAUUUGCCAAGGAUGUUUUCAUUAAUCAAGAACGAAAGUUAGGGGAUCGAAGACGAUCAGAUACCGUCGUAGUCUUAACCAUAAACUAUGCCGACUAGGGAUCGGAUGAUGUUAAUUUUUAAUGACUCAUUCGGCGCCUUAA